ensembl:lncRNA
UUUACGAUCUGGAGAACAACCUUAGUGACGAAGAGAUCACAUGGUUCAAAGAAAACUCCUCGAUUGAGAUCACCACUGACGAAAAUGAGAACGUGCAUUACCACGGUGGAGCCCUCUUUUUCUUAAAUCUUCUCACUGAGCACUCUGGCCUUUACACUGCCCGGCAUAAAGACCCAUCAGGGGAGUGUUACAACUAUUUUUUUUAAGUUGUCGUCUUCAAAGACGGCCCUAUGACGAACAAGAAACUCUUAUACGCAGAUAUCAAAAACUCGGACAUAAGCAAAAGGGUUACAUGUCCACGUCCUGUCGACCACACAUGUAGCGAGUUGAAAGGAAACUUCACCUGGAACAAGGACAACAAGCCCCUUCCAGGUUACCAUGAAGUUGACUUUAGUAUAGAUAAUGCUAAACCAAAAGACAAGGGAAUAUACACUUGCAUUUGUACCUGGACACACAAUAACAAGGAGUACAUGUCGUCAGGAUCCAGGAGACUACAAGUUGACGGUGAGAGAGCAUUUCCAGAUGUGUAUCGGUCUUUAGUUGGGGAAGUGGGAAUCAAAAGGAGGACAUGAGAUCAGCUUGUUAGUCAACUUACC